GUGACGCAGUUAGUACCCCGCCUGGGGAGUACGGUCGCAAGGCUGAAACUCAGAGGAAUUGACUGGGGCCCGCACAAGCGGUGGAGCAUUUGGUUUAAUUCGACGCAACGCGCAGAACGUUACCCAGGUUCGACAUGCACCGGCACAGCGAGGAGAGUCGCUGGCCCGUUUCGGGACGGUGCACAGGUGCUGCAUGGCCGUCGUCAGCUCGUGUCGUGAGAUGUUGGGUUAAGUCCCGCAACGAGCGCAACCCCUGCCCGUAGUUGCCAACAGGUGAUGCUGGGGACUCUACGGGGACUAUCGGUGUGAAACCGGAGGAAGGUGGGGACGACGUCAAGUCCUCAUGGCCCUUACGCCUGGGGCGACACACGUGCUACAAUGGGGCGGACAACGGGGGGCGACCCUGCGAGGGGGAGCGAAUCCCUGAAACCGUGUCUCAGUUCGGAUUGGAGUCUGCAACUCGACUCCAUGAAGGUGGAAUCGCUAGUAAUCGCGGAUCAGCAUCCCGCGGUGAAUACGUUCCCGGGCNUUGUACACACCGCCCGUCACACCACGAAAGUUGAUGAUACCCGAAGU
rnacentral:rRNA from 1 species